rnacentral:lncRNA from 1 species
UGGUGAGUUAUUAUCUUGAUUGUUCUUUAUUUACUUUCUUGGGAGUGGAUUUGUUAUUUGAUCAUGUAUGACUAUAUGAAUGAAAUAUAAGGGGUUUUCAUUUGUUUGCCAAUUUGAAAUAUGCACUAAUUCACCACACUGGGCCAGGAAAGAAUAUUACAGUAAUGGCUUUCCGUCAAAUAUUCAUUUCUUGUGAAUAUGAGUAAAGUUGCUUCUUUGUUGCUCUACCUUCUUUUUCCAGCUAAUCUAUCUGAGUGACUUUUUAAUGAUUUGAUAAAUUUGAUAAUCAAUAGCUCUACAAAUUUUUAUGCAUGUGUCAAAGUAUGUGUUGACCAAAAUAACUUCUUUUAUGUAUCCUUGCAGUCUUAGUUGCCAAAGUUCAAUUCAUAUCAUGCAUUUGAUAAUUGAUCUAUUGUCUCAUAAUAUUGCUUGUUUGAAUGACAAGAGAACAACAUAGUCGGGAUAUUGAGUUAUACUUUGAAUUAUCAGUUUCAUAAGAAUCUUGACACUGUAAGCUCCUCAAUUCUUGCUUUACUGGAGUUUGGGUGAAUGGUCUGACACAAAAGGAACUAAUAGUUUUUUAUUAUACAAUGUGUUUUUCCUAUAACAACUUUCUUCUUACCUUUUUAUGAUAAUGUCUUGUAAUAACUUACUAAUGUUCUGAUAUUCAUUUGGAUCUUUUGAACAAGAGCAUAUUUCCACUUAUACUAUCUAUUUGAUUCAAGGAGGUUAAUUUCUAGCAUUUUUGGAGAAUAUAAAUUGGGACAUGCUAUGGAAGUUUCUGUUUUUUUUUCUUAAAAAAUUAUCAUGUUGAAUCUGAUAUGAAUGGAUUUAUGGAGCAGGACC